AUGGCUAGAAGGAUCUUUCGCACAGGCGUCCUGUCUGAAGUGCAGCUGGGCCAGCCAGGAUCCAAAGUGGUGAAGCCGGGAGAGAACCUCAGCCUGACAUGCAACAUCUCCUUCUCUGAUGCUAGUGAAAGCAUUGAUGUUUAUUAUUGGAGCUGGAUCCGGCAGCCUCCCGGGAAAGGCCUAGAAUGGAUGGGAGAGAUAGACCCAGAAAGUGACAGCCCAGAUUACGCUCCCGCAUUCCAGUCCCGUAUAAGCAUCUCAGCCGAUUCCUCCUCCAAGGAGAUCCACCUUCAGCUCAGCUCAAUGGCAACUGAAGACACGGCUACAUAUUACUGUGCUAGAGACACAAUGGCAGCAGAGAUCCCCUCAAGCCUCUGA